rnacentral:rRNA from 1 species
AACGAACGCUGGCGGCAGGCCUAACACAUGCAAGUCGAGCGAACCCUUCGGGGUUAGCGGCGGACGGGUUAGUAACGCGUGGGAACGUGCCCAAAGGUACGGAAUAGCCUCGGGAAACUGAGAGUAAUACCGUAUGUGCCCUUCGGGGGAAAGAUUUAUCGCCUUUGGAUCGGCCCGCGUUGGAUUAGGUAGUUGGUGGGGUAAUGGCCUACCAAGCCGACGAUCCAUAGCUGGUUUGAGAGGAUGAUCAGCAACAUUGGGACUGAGACACGGCCCAGACUCCUAUGGGAGGCAGCAGUGGGGAAUCUUAGACAAUGGGGGAAACCCUGAUCUAGCCAUGCCGCGUGGACGAUGAAGGCCUUAGGGUUGUAAAGUCCUUUCAGCUGGGAAGAUAAUGACGGUACCAGCAGAAGAAGCCCCGGCUAACUCCGUGCCAGCAGCCGCGGU